GAUGAACGCUAGCUACAGGCUUAACACAUGCAAGUCGAGGGACCGGCGCACGGGUGAGUAACACGUAUCCAACACGCCCCUUACUCGGGGAUAGCCUUUCGACAGAAAGAUUAAUACCCGAUGUAAAGGAUGGGGAUGCGUUCCAGUAGGUUGUUGGUGCGGUAACGGAUCACCAAGCCUUCGAUGGAUAGGGCGUCUGAGAGGAAGGUCACCUGCAUGGUAACUGAGCCACGAUCCAAACGCGACGUGGAGGCAGGGAUGAGGAAUAUAGGUAAAUCGGCGUGAGCCUGAACCGUCCAGGUAGCGUGAAGGAUGAUGGCGUAUGGGUCUUAGACUUCUUUGAUGUAAGAAUAUGUAUUAUAUGAAAAAGGAUCGGCUAACUCCGUGCCAGCAGCCGCGGUAAUAC
rnacentral:rRNA from 1 species